rnacentral:rRNA from 1 species
GGCCUUGACAUACUAAGAACUUUCCAGAGAUGGAUUGGUGCCUUCGGGAACUUAGAUACAGGUGCUGCAUGGCUGUCGUCAGCUCGUGUCGUGAGAUGUUGGGUUAAGUCCGCAACGAUCGCAACCUUUUCCUAUUUGCCAGCGGGUAAUGCCGGGAACUUUAAGGAUACUGCCAGUGACAAACUGGAGGAAGGCGGGGACGACGUCAAGUCAUCAUGGCCCUUACGGCCAGGGCUACACACGUGCUACAAUGGUCGGUACAAAGGGUUGCUACCUCGCGAGAGGAUGCUAAUCUCAAAAAGCCGAUCGUAGUCCGGAUCGCAGUCUGCAACUCGACUGCGUGAAGUCGGAAUCGCUAGUAAUCGCGGAUCAGAAUGCCGCGGUGAAUACGUUCCCGGGCCUUGUACACACCGCCCGUCACACCAUGGGAGUUUGUUGCACCAGAAGUAGGUAGUCUAACCGCAAGGAGGACGCUUACCACGGUGUGGCCGAUGACUGGGGUGAAGUCGUAACAAGGUAAGCGUAGAUGA